GGUGGGAGGAAGCACUCCCCUCUCCACUUCCCUGGCAUGUGAAGGUUCCCUGGCCAGGCAUCCACAGGACCCUACAGCAACUCUGUGUGAAGAUGAAAUAAAUUUCCUUUCUGCUAGACCAUGAAAAUGCUGGAAUUAAUUUGUUACCACAGCAGGGCAAAACACCUUUGUGAGUGAUUAUCUUCUAUUGACCUAAACAACCUCUGCUAACCAAAGCUCAUUAUGUUUUCAAGCAGUUGUUUUAUUAUUUUUUUUUCUUAAGAAAGUUCUUCAUUUUAUUGAUCUAAUAUCUACCAUCAGGUAAGUUAAUGCAUCAGUCUUAGCUCUCUGGUACAAUCUAAACACUACAUCAUCAUAAAGACAAAAGCCUGCAACAUUCAUGUGCUAUUCCCUACAUUGUCUUUACUUUUAAAGUCAAAGCUGAUCAGAGUAGGUGGGGAUAGAAAUAUCAGUAUUUGCAAGUAUAUUUUUUCCAUUUUUAUCUUCUCAAUGGGUAAUUUAUAACUUUAUAAACCAAAUUACAUGUUUGAGACUUCCUCAAAGCAGUCAUUUCAAACUCUAUAGCCAGAUCUAUUUUUUCACAGACCUUUUCACAAUGUAGAGGAUAAGCCUUCACUUCUUAACUAUUUCAACAUCUAAUACAGGAUUCAUAUAACAUUCCAUGCUCCAUCAUAAACACACCUUUUUUCUUCCUUUCUGAGAAUUUACCAUGUUGAAUAUAUCACAUACAUGUUUCCCCCCAAAAUAGAUAAAUUUACAGAACUUAAAAUCAAAAUAACCACUACCCAGUGAUUGGUUCGCAAACAAAGUCAAACCAAAGAAAAAAGCUAAAAGAAAACAUGCUUGCCAUCUUUUCCUCUGGUCACAAGCCGGGCUAUGAACAAAUAAAUAAUAAAGCUUAUUAGGUGCUUAUUAAGUACUACACACUAUACAAAGUAGUUUUACAUGUAUUAUGUAUUCAUGAGAGCAACACUAACCUCAUUUUACGGAAGAGAAACCAAGUCACUAGUUAGUGACUUGCCAGAUAUACCCACAAGCUAAUAAGUAGAAGAACAAGAGGAAUUUCAGCCCAUGGUCUUGGUCUCAAAUGCAUAUGAUCUAUCAGUAGAAGUCCAGGUUUUUGGUAUCUUUUUUUUGUUUGUUUUAUUAGAUUUCUUUUAUUUUUUUUUUUGGUUCCCUUUGCCCUGGGUCCGGAGUGCCUUAAUAUCACAACAGAGCUCCCUUCUUUUCCUGUCCUGAGAAACCAUAGUCCUGGCAGUACGGUGCCAAUGUCACCACGGCUGGAAUCAAAUCAUCUAUAGGAAGUCAGGCCAAGGACUUUCCUAGUGUCCUGCAGUUGAAAACAGAUAUGUCCCCAAAGUCACCAAUCUUCUGUGCCUGAGAAUACCACAACCCAUCAAAAAUCAAAUAUCAGAUAGAAAAAAAACAAGGCUGAUGGGUGUCUUGCUACACUGCUUGCUGGGUCCCACUUGAGAUGACUUGCAUGUCAACAUUUAUCUUUCUGGGUGGGGAAGUAACACGGUAACUACAUAUCUCUGUAAGAUCUGUGUAGCCCAUGAUUUCAGAAAAUACAGCCUGAGGAUAGGUACAGGGACAGCAUUAGUUCCAUAAAAGUCAGGUAUAUUUUGUUUGUGUGUUUUUCUUGGGGUGGGGUCAGAACUACAGGCCAAGGCUCUUAACCACAGUUUAUAGGAACUAUGACCUGGAUCCUCAGUAUGAACAUCCUGAGAAAGCUGCUUGCAGCAUGGCUCCCACUAAGUACUAAUGAGGUUCAGAGGCUGAAUCUGCUAGAAUUAGAAAUAAGGAGUGAUUUACUGGCUAUCAACAACUAAUAUUAGCCUUCCACAUCCUCAGGAUAACAUAACUAGAAGACCAAAGAUGAUGAACAAUGAUUCUCUGUAUUAAAGUAGCUACCUGCCCUGCCUACCUGAUAUCUGACCCUCUACCCCACAAUUUAUGGUGUCCCCUGUGCUCAUAUGAUUCUAUAUUGUUUUCACUCUUCCUGAUGCCUCCUCUGCCUAGAAUGCCUGUCUACUUCUAAACCAUCGGCUCUCUCUGUGAACCACCUCCUAGUGAACCACUGGCUUUCUGUAGAAUCUUCUGGAACUUUGCUCCCAGCAGUGUUCCCAUAUCUUCUCAAUAAGUAUUUCAAUGUUCUCUUAGCACACAGAAUGAGAGUAUCUCUUCUUGGCAUCUCCAGGAUCUCAUUGGAAGAUGGCACCAAGGAGGCACUCAAUACUUGAGUCAGGAAUGAAAGAAAGAUGACACAAAUUAGAAAAAGUGACUUUUACAAAUUAGAAAAAGUGACUUUUGUCCUCUUUCUUUCUGUAGGACAGAGUAUUCCUCCUGAGUUAUGAGGAUUGUGAGCUCUUGGAGAAUGGUAUCUCUCAACAAAGAAACCAUACCCUUAUUUUUUAUUUUUUUAUUUUUUUCCUUUAGCAGUGAUAGCUCUGAGAUGUCAGGAUAUUUUCUGACAAACUCAGCACAAAGGGGUCCUAUUGCGGAAAAUCAGCACUCCAUGUCUGGAGCCAUUUGCACUUUUAAAAGCAACAAGCUGCAGGAGUUAGAAGCUAAGUUCCAUUUCUGAAUGUUUCAGAUGGAAAUGCAGGCAGGACUUCAGGUAAGAGAGUGCAGCAGCAAACUUUUCACUUGAAUGAAAUCUCCCAGUGUUGUUCUGGGAAAUCUUGAGCUUCAGAAGUUAAUUCUAUUUCAUGAGGUCUCAAAGAGACUCUCAGUUUUAGAGCAUUUACCCAUUUACAAGACUUUAACCCUCUCCCAAUUGCAUAUCAAAGGGUAAAAACUCCACUCUAUUAAUAGAGCUAAUAGAUCAUACAGGGAUGAACAUAAAUGGGAGGCCCAGUCUCCUCCUUGUGUAUUUCCUUUUCCUUACAAAUGCUCUUGGGAAAUGAUGCAUAGGAAUGUCCAAUCAAAGUAGAUCUUCUGAAGCAAAAUUUCAAUUCAAAUAGACUAUAAAAUGGAAGUUUUAAUCAAUUCAGGAGACGCUCCAGCCAAAGAAAUAUGAAAAAUGAAUCAACAGACAAUAUAAUUAUGCAAAAUAAUACCACUGACAGGCUCAGCUCAAGCAUUCACAAACAAUUUUUCCUUCCUCCAAAUGAAUUUCUGAUUAAAAAGAUGAGACAUAAUCAAUCAGUUGUUUGUCCAAAGAUUUUGUGCACAUGAAAAAGUAAUUAGUAAAGUUUUAUUCAUUAUUUGAACUUCUUAAC
ensembl:lncRNA